rnacentral:tRNA from 3 species
GGCGUGAUAGCUCAGUUGGUUAGAGCGCAGCACUCAUAAUGCUGAGGUCUCGAGUUCAAAUCUCGAUCACGCUA